AUAAUUUUAACUUUUAAAAAAAUAAAACUAAAUGACAAUUUGUUAAAAUCUGACGAUAUUAUUUUGUUAUACAAACUAAAUGAUAAUAUAGACUUCUGUUCACAAAUUUAUAUUAACUACAUUUUAAAGAAUAUAAUGGCACUUAAUUGUGGUAAACAGGAUGCAGAUUUAAGUUGGGGCACUCAGUUGGAAACAGACCAGCUGUUACCAUAUUGUUUAGAACAUGAGCUGAAGAUGCAAGAUAUUUUGUACACAAAAAACAGAAGCGAAUGGAGAAAAGUAGCAGGGGUUGUAAAUAGAGACUUAAAAAAAGAAUCAUAUAUUGAUUUAAAACAAAUACAAAAAAAAACAAAUACUAAUAGAAUAAAAAAGUUAAUUAAGUUUAAUGACAAAAACAAUAGUUAUAAACAUGAGAAAAGAAAAGAUACUGAUUGUUUAAUAUCAUCAAAUGUAAAAAAUGUUAAUGUAAAUAUUAUGAAUAGAUUUAUACAAGAUAAAAUCUUAAAAAUGAAAUUUGCAAUUACUAAUUUUGUUAUAUAUACUCAUAUAUAUACAGAUAUUUUAUAUUAUGAUUAUUUAUAUUUAUUUAAUAAAGACAUGGUUAUAUAUAAAAAUUAUAUGGAAAAUCUUAUUAACACUUUUAAAAAAUAUCACUCAGUUCAUAUAAAAAUAAAAGGAAUAAAUAAAAAAAAAAUAAAUGAAUAUAUACAAAUGUUUUUUUGUUCAAACGUCCAUGUGUUUAUAAAAUUUAAAAAAGUUGUUGACAAAAUUGGUCGUAAAAGUGUGGGCAUAAUUAGAGGCAAAAACGCUAACAAAAACAAAAGUAACUGCAAAAUAGAAGAAUACAUAAACAACCAUUUAGAUGAUAAUAUCACCACCCAAUACAUUAUACCAUUUCUUAGAAUGUAUUCAAGAAAAAAUAUAUUAAACAGAACUAGCCUUUGUUAUAUUUUCAAAACAUUUAAAAGAAGUAAAGGCAGAAGCGACAAUACUAUGAAUAAUUUUAGAAAGCACGCAAACUACGAUAAUAAUAACAACGCUAGUAAUAAUAAAAUUAUAAUAAGCAUUAAAAAGUUUAAGAAAACACUUUUCAACUUAAUUACAGAUCAACAUUCAUAUGUCCAUUUUUAUAUCAACAGAAAUAAAAGU
rnacentral:lncRNA from 1 species